AACAAAUACGUGAUUAAAUGCUACAGUAUUCAGCAAACACAACUGCAGAGCUGCAAACAUUGCAAACAGACUAAGUUCAACAACACCCAGUUGUGUGGUGGUUGCAUUCUCCAGCCACCUUCCUUGUGUGUGUGUUUUCCCUUUCCCUGUCUGUGUGGGCGUGGUGCCUGUCAUUCCUGGCUCCCGGCUCAAAUCUCCACCAGCUGCAAACAGUUGAGCACUCUCCUCUGCGACACACCUCAUUCCCAUCAGCCAUUACGGAUGGUAUAUCAGCGGAGGCUCCACAACCUGUCAGCGCCAGAUCGUUGUUAGACCCCAGUGGAUUACGCUUCAGUGGAUUACGUUCCAGUGGAUUAAAACUCCGGAGGAUACUCUUCAGUGGAUUACGCUCCAGUGGAUACUCUCCAGCCGGAUUAUCUCCUCCAAAUAAAACCUUUGUAACACAC